rnacentral:rRNA from 1 species
AUGGCCUGCAGCAGCGGCAGGUGUUGCCUUCAGCUCGAGUGGGAUCCGCAGCUGAUCAGGUACUUCGGUGGUCUAGGCGCGCUGGGCGUCGCCGCCGGCGGUAAUCCCGACGGUCAUGGUGCCAUCGAGCACGAGCUCGGGCUCUUCUUCCCCAAGUGCAUGGAGUGGCCGGGUUCUUCAGAGCCGCCGCGGGAGGAUGUGACGGAGUGGUCCGAGGAGCAGUUGGAGGAACUGAUCCGAAGUUUCCCGAUCCUAGACGAGGAUCUGGUAGGCUUCGAUCCCACCUGCAUUAUCGAGGAUACAAGCACUGCUGCUGAUGCUUCUUUCCUGUGGGUUGAUGAUCUCCUGGCCCCGAGCUCUGCCUCGCCGGUGGAGCCGCCCACAUUGCCGGUGGCGCAGCCGGAGCAGCCUCCCCUCAGCUCGCCAUCGUGCAAUCGCCACGGCGACCAGCAGCGCCAGAUCACUCGCGCCAACUGUUCGGCCAAACGCUCGGCGACACAAGAAACAGAGCAGGAUGGAAGGAGCGGCAAGAGGCGCAGGAAGUCAGGGCUGACGGUGGUGCGGCCGUUCUCGGUGGUGAAGCCCGGCCCCCGCGGGGUGGACGGCGUCGAGACGCUGGCCGACAUCAACGAGCGGAUCCUGACGCCGUCGGCGAGGCCCGUCCGGCACCCCGUGGGGGAGUACGCGAGCGCCCCGCGGGCAUCCGCGGGCGGCGACCGGCCGGCCCCGUCCGGCAAGGCAGUCACCGGUUUCACCAGGCUGCACACCGCCGGGAAGGGCACGAUCACCGUCAUAAGGUCAUCCGGAUAA